GUGCCAGCAGCCGCGGUAAUACGUAGGUGGCAAGCGUUAUCCGGAAUUAUUGGGCGUAAAGCGCUCGUAGGCGGUUUUUUAAGUCUGAUGUGAAAGCCCACGGCUCAACCGUGGAGGGUCAUUGGAAACUGGAAAACUUGAGUGCAGAAGAGGAAAGUGGAAUUCCAUGUGUAGCGGUGAAAUGCGCAGAGAUAUGGAGGAACACCAGUGGCGAAGGCGACUUUCUGGUCUGUAACUGACGCUGAUGUGCGAAAGCGUGGGGAUCAAACAGGAUUAGAUACCCUGGUAGUCC
rnacentral:rRNA from 1 species